CCCUGGCACCAUAGCAGCCUCUGGGCGUCCAAGUACAAAAGAUAAACAGGGUUAAGCCAGGCUGGGGCUUGGAUGGGAUACCACCUGGGAAGACCUGGGGUUUCAGGUU
ensembl:rRNA 5S_rRNA 5S ribosomal RNA